ACAUCAAAUGCCUUUAAAGGCUUUAACCAGAGGUUAGGUGCAAAUGGGGACAGAUAACUUAAAUGAAGAUAUGUGUAGAAUUGGGAAAACUAUAAUGAAUUAAUGAGGGACUCUCGAAUGUGGGAAGUGCAUUAGUUGGUAAGUUCAUUAACUUAAAAGUCUAAAACCCUUGGUUUUUUACUUCAAUCUCACUACCACUAGAUAAACCAGUACUCUCAACUCCAACCAAACCCAUCACACACCUGUCCAUGAUAAAGAGCAUUUAAGAUGUCAAUGAAAUCCUCAUACCAUACUUACUUUCCUUAGACAGUUAAUGCGGUCAGAAUUGUAAGUUCUGAUGUUUACUGUGUUGUACUUGCUGAUGGUGAUUGGCUAAGUCACUUAACUGUGUUGCUCUCCCAAGUGCCAAAGCACACUUUCCAUCAUUUUGGAGCUUUCAAUAGUCUUGAUAGAUUUCAGCUUGCACGUAUUAUUGGGCAAUCUUGAUAGUGCUUCUUUUUUGACCAACACAAACAGAACCAGAGCCACUUUUUCCAUGAUAAAAUGUCUGAUCUUUAUAGUGUAAUUGCUGCCAAUUUUUAAUCAAUUGAUGAAAGAUUCAUUUGGAUCCUUGUGCUUUGCCUGUGAGAAAAUCAAUUAGCAAGUUCAUAAUCAAUUGAUGAAAGAUUCAUUUGGAUCUUUAUAGAAGUUCCCAGUCUUCUUGAUCUCUCCUUUUCAACUUCACUGGCAGCGUCAAUAAUUCUUUGUUCAAAAAAGCAAAAGGGGAUCAGCAAUUCUCUCAGAGGAUCAACUGCAAUAAAAGAUUUCAAUCCUGAGUAAGUCGUAAUAUCAUGACAA